UGGUUAUUUUCUUUUCAGAUUAGUCAGAAUAAAUGCAAUAUCGCCCAGAGAUACAGACUACUUAUUCCCUUUUAUGACGUGAGUCAUUUUAAAUUUUGAGAGAACACUCAACCUGACUGAAGUAGUGUUUGAAAGAGGGUCUCUUCUUUGUGCCUUCCCAUGGUGCUGUCUGUCUUCAGAAACAAGCAGUCCCAAUGGUGGGAGUUUGGUGGUUCUGGUCUCGCCUGUGUGAACCGUAAUCUCUUGUGUGCCUGGCUGUUCUGAUCUGCCUGUUGAGCAUCCUACCAUGGUGCACAGUGUUAUACUACUGCCUCUACAGAGUUCACCUGUUCCUUUGCUUCAUUUUGGCCCUGGUGAAACUCUUCUUCCAGGUACAGACAACUUGACAAAGCAAUAAGAUCCUGGACUCUGGAAUCAGACAGAACUGGAUGUCAGCACCAACCCUGUCUAAUUUAGCACGGUGACCCUCAAAAAGCCAUUUGAAUGAUGUCAGACUGUUACUUCAAUGAAA